rnacentral:rRNA from 2 species
GGCGGACGGGUGAGUAACACGUGGGUAACCUGCCCAUAAGACUGGGAUAACUCCGGGAAACCGGGGCUAAUACCGGAUAACAUUUUGAACUGCAUGGUUCGAAAUUGAAAGGCGGCUUCGGCUGUCACUUAUGGAUGGACCCGCGUCGCAUUAGCUAGUUGGUGAGGUAACGGCUCACCAAGGCAACGAUGCGUAGCCGACCUGAGAGGGUGAUCGGCCACACUGGGACUGAGACACGGCCCAGACUCCUACGGGAGGCAGCAGUAGGGAAUCUUCCGCAAUGGACGAAAGUCUGACGGAGCAACGCCGCGUGAGUGAUGAAGGCUUUCGGGUCGUAAAACUCUGUUGUUAGGGAAGAACAAGUGCUAGUUGAAUAAGCUGGCACCUUGACG